GUCUCCGUAGCUAAAAUCCUAAAGCACUG
rnacentral:tRNA from 1 species